rnacentral:snRNA from 1 species
AUACUUACCUGGCAGGGGAGAUACCAUGAUCAUGAAGGUGGUUUUCCCAGAGCGAGGCUUAUCCAUUGCACUCCGGAUGUGCUGACCCCUGCGAUUUCCCCAAAUGUGGGAAACUUGACUGCAUAAUUUGUGGUAGUGGGGGAAAACAA